ACUGUGAUUAAAGUUUAUAACAGGUCAGGACAGGACUCUGGAACGGAUUCAAAUGUUUGAAUGUGUAGGCAGCACAUCAUACUCUACAAAUCGAAUUAGAUACGUCCGCCCCUCUAGAUCCUGUAGUGCUCUGCGAAUGACUUUCGUGGGGUAGAGACGAUGGUAUUUUUUUUUCAUAAUCACACGAUGUUUUAUGUCCUGGAUAGACGGCAACCUUAAGCUGCUCUUAGACAAAAAUGAUACCUACUAUUGUAAUCAAAUACAGAGUAUUUUUGAUUGUUCAAAAAUGAUUGCAGAGAAGUUAAUUUGGUUCUUUCUGUGCCACCAAUUUUUUGAAGAGAUUGUAGCACUGUGCAACAUUAGACAUCAACAAAAGAGGUGUUUAACUUGCCCAAUAUCGGGUGGCCUUUUAUCAAAAAUGCGCGCGAUCGAGAUUUUGGUGGAAAACUCUAUAAGACUCCGCUAGUUUAGACAUGAUAGCUUGAAGCAGUUGUUUUUAUCUCGUUUGUGCUUAGCAAAGGUAGAGGGAGUAAUAAAAGUACGUACACUUCUUAUCAUUUAACAGUGUGGUUUGAUUCAAAUACGACAGAUUUCUAUAUUAUAUUAUGAAAUGUGAAUAUCUAAUCUAGCGAUAGAUUACGAUUUACUUUAUUAUCUAUUUUUCUGUAUAAAUGUAUAAUAAAUACACACACGAUGUGUAAUCUUAUCA